rnacentral:lncRNA from 1 species
GGGGAAGAAGCAGGAGGAAAGGGUUAAAGGUCGUGAUAAACAUAUCAAUAAUUUGAAAAAGAAAUGUCAGAAGGAAUCAGAGCAGAACCGGGAGAAGCAGCAGCGGAUUGAAACCUUGGAGCGCUAUCUCGCUGACCUGCCCACCCUAGAAGACCAUCAGAAACAGACGGAGCAGCUUAAGGACGCUGAAUUGAAGAACACAGAACUGCAAGGGAGAGUGGCAGAGCUGGAGACUAUGCUGGAGGACACACAGGCCGCCUGCAGGGAGAAGGAGGUUCAGCUGGAAAGUCUGAGACAAAGAGAAGCGCAAUUCUCCUCUGCUAGACAUAGCUUUCAAGAUAAACAGUCUUUGGAGGAAGCCAGUGGUGAAAGCCUCAAAGUGGAAAUGGAAUCCCAGCAGAAGGAAUGUGAUUCCCUCCGAAAGAUCGUGGAGAGGCAACAGCUGAAGUUGGAGCAGCUGCACUCGCAGGUCCAGAGCCAAAAGCAAGAACUGGCACAAGAAGAAGGAAUAAGCCAGGCGUUGAGAGAGGAGGCCCAGCGGAGGGAGACAGCCCUGCAGCAGAUGCGCACAGCCGUGAAGGAGCUCUCAGUGCAAAAUCAGGACCUGAUUGAGAAGAAUCUGACACUGCAAGAGCACUUGCGCCAGGCCCAGCCAGGGUCCUCGUCAGGGUCCCCAGACGCCGCCCAGCUGGCAUAUGAGCUGCACCAGGAACUGGCCAGUUGCCUUCAAGACCUGCAAGCUGUCUGCAGCAUUGUGACCCAGAGGGCCCAGGGCCACAGUCCUAACCUCUCUCUGCUCCUAGGCAUUCACUGUGAGUCCUCAGAAGGGCCUCGGCUCCCUCACCCUCCAAUGUGGCUGUUCUUAGGGUAACAUGAACCAGGUGCAUAGGCCUGGCCACUGCCUUGUGGGAGUUGUCAAAGUGAGUGCACUGUAAGCGGUUCACAAACAGGCCUCCCUAGAGAGCACUUACAUGGAGGACAGACAGAAAUCCUGCCUCAGGCAACCAAUUAUCCCGGUUUGUUCUGUGAAAGUGUCAUGUCCUUAAAAAACAAAAACAAAAACAAAAAACAAAAAAACAAAA